UUUUUAUUUUAGUGAGACAACUAUUUUCCAUUUUCACUUCUAUUUUGAUAUCAUCCCUGUUUCUUGGUUCUUUAAUCUGAAAGUGCGUUUUUGCUCUGUAAAUUUCUCAGAUUUUUCAUUUGCUCUUUCUUUUCAUCUCUUCGGCUCUUCUAUGCCUGUGAUUUGCGGACACCACUCUAGCCUUUUUGAGAUGAGAUAUUUCAUGGAGCAGUGGUGAUUGGUGUGAGUUGGAGUUAAUUAAUUAGCAUGAACUUAAUUAAGAGUCACAGGCUUGAAUUAAUAAGAUCUUGGUGGCACUCCUCUUAGUUUUCGUUAUACAACUUUCAGGGAAGACCAAUUAUAUGAUUUUCCAUGUUAAUCAAACACAUCAUAUAUUUUUAUUAUCUCUUUGCUCUUUAUCCUCUUCUUGGUUACAAUGUGGAAUUACAAGAAGCAGUGAAGAGCAACACGAUCUAAAGAAACUCCGAAGAGAAGCCUACUACAAAACCACUAAUGGAAAAGAAGAGAUUCCUGAGUUUUUGUCAAUAGAGGAAAAGAAGAGGUUUUAAGCAUUUUGAUGAUCAAGGUGUUCUAAACUGAUGUCAAUUGGUGCUGACAUUCUUACUGUAGCUAAUAAAGGAAGAGAUUUUUUUUCCACUGAGAUCUCAAGCCAACUACUUGAAUUGAAUAUUUUGGUAACUUUGUACGGUCAUAAUAUUACUUGUUAGUUUUAGUAUUUUUAAUUCUUCUUUAUAAUUUUGUAUGUACGAGAGCACAAAGGAAUUGAGAUUCAAGUGCAACAAAGGAAAA